rnacentral:rRNA from 1 species
UGGGGAAUUUUGGACAAUGGGCGCAAGCCUGAUCCAGCAAUGCCGCGUGAGUGAAGAAGGCCUUCGGGUUGUAAAGCUCUUUUGUCAGGGAAGAAACGGUGGGGGCUAAUACUCCCCACUAAUGACGGUACCUGAAGAAUAAGCACCGGCUAACUACGUGCCAGCAGCCGCGGUAAUACGUAGGGUGCAAGCGUUAAUCGGAAUUACUGGGCGUAAAGCGUGCGCAGGCGGUUUUGUAAGUCUGUCGUGAAAUCCCCGGGCUUAACCUGGGAAUGGCGAUGGAGACUGCAAGGCUAGAAUCUGGCAGAGGGGGGUAGAAUUCCACGUGUAGCAGUGAAAUGCGUAGAGAUGUGGAGGAACACCGAUGGCGAAGGCAGCCCCCUGGGCUAAGAUUGACGCUCAUGCACGAAAGCGUGGGGAGCAAACAG